GACGAACGCUGGCGGCGUGCUUAACACAUGCAAGUCGAACGAAGAGCGAUGGAAGCUUGCUUCUAUCAAUCUUAGUGGCGAACGGGUGAGUAACGCGUAAUCAACCUGCCCUUCAGAGGGGGACAACAGUUGGAAACGACUGCUAAUACCGCAUACGAUCUAAUCUCGGCAUCGAGGAUAGAUGAAAGGUGGCCUCUACAUGUAAGCUAUCACUGAAGGAGGGGAUUGCGUCUGAUUAGCUAGUUGGAGGGGUAACGGCCCACCAAGGCGAUGAUCAGUAGCCGGUCUGAGAGGAGGAACGGCCACAUUGGGACUGAGACACGGCCCAGACUCCUACGGGAGGCAGCAGUGGGGAAUCUUCCGCAAGAGACGAAAGUCUGACGGAGCAACGCCGCGUGAGUGAUGACGGCCUUCGGGUUGUAAAGCUCUGUUAAUCGGGACGAAAGGCCUUCUUGCGAAUAGUGAGAAGGAUUGACGGUACCGGAAGAGAAAGCCACGGCUAACUACGUG
rnacentral:rRNA from 1 species